CUGUGCAAACGAAAAUAGCAACUACAAACAUGACAGCAAAAGAACAGAAAAACAGAUGGCAGAAAGGCUAUCAAACAGAAUAGGAGACAGACUGUUUCAGUAACAUGGAUCUUAUACUUCUGCAGCUGAAUUCUCAAAAGCAUGUUGGUGUACUGGAGACGACAGACCAAAACCGCAAGUCCUGCAGCCAAAGCAUGAGCAGAGGAGAGAACUUUGGCCUCCAGCUGCACCCAGAACCGAAGUCUCCACCCCCAACCAUGGAACCAAAGGCCCAGGAUGUAACUGGAACUUGAACACUAAAACCCUUUCAGAAGCAAAGGGUCUGUUGUCCAGGAAGAUCUAGUGUUGAUGCCCCUUUCCCAUAAACGGCCAGGUUCCAAAGUCCUCCAGCUAAGACUUGCCCCACCAGCACUUCCGCAAACCUAUUACCCCAGCCCCUAAUAACCCUUAAGCUAGUCCAGCAAGCAGGGCAGAUUAGAGGCUCCAUUAGGCCUCUUAUCUUGGCGGUCGGCGCCUUCUCGAUCAAUAAACCUUUCCUUACUCCAAACUC